GGGGGUCUGAUGAGAAAUAAGCGGAAGAAAGUUUUCGAGAGAGAGGAAAAGAGCGGGAGAGGGAGAAGUCAAUGAGAAAAACAUUCCAUGUGAAUGUCAAGGGCGGGAAGCUGGAGGGACAAAGCUAAUUCUUUAAGGAGUCUUCCUCUGUGGCUGCUGGACUGCUUCCGUCAUGUUCUCAGACACCAGAGCGCCUGGGGAGCACAGAGGCUUUCAGCACAGCAACCCUCAUCUCAACCUCUGGCUCCACAAUAGAUUCAGGGCCCAUCACAGUGACAUGGGACUCAAUGGGCAGCGCAGGCGGACUGAUGCCAACCUUACCUAUCCCAACAGAGCCAAAGAGGUAGGCUUUAAAUCACAAGAGGUUAUCAACAAUAUACAUGGGAAGGAAAGGAUGGGUGCCCAUUUGAAUGGACUGGGAUUGGAGGAGCUAGAUUUAAGAAGCCAAGUUGGCAGUCCUUCCAGGUGGAGCCAGGUCCCUUCUCCAGAGCCAGGCCUGAGACACAGCGCAUCUGUCAGGAACCACUACACAGAACGCUCCUUUGUUUGGAACCACCGCCAGACGUUACCACACCCCUCAGUCAGGAACUACGUUACACCCCCCGCUCCACCAACACAGUUCAAAGGUCAAGACGGCUGUAAAGUGCCUGUUUGUUUGGAGGACCAGCUUUGGGGUUACCCCAGACAGACCUGUCAGAGAAACCUUCAUAAAUCCAGCUGGGUGGAUACAACCACAGCCACACAGGGCUUACCCAGACACCAGAGUUUCGGUUCUACCUUGAGUUCCACCCCAAAAAAAGUCAGAAACAUCCAGAGAGACUUGACUAGACCAGUAGGCGGACCAGAGACCAGAAGAGACCAGAAAUACUUGACUAAACCUGUGGAGGGUUACAAUGGACCCAGCUCUCUGCAUGAAGUCAUAUUCUCUACAGAGGUUCCUCAGAGAAAUAUGGGAGGUCCCACUCUCCGACCCCAGCAGAGCCCCAGUAAGCCCUGUCCCACCCCAGAGGAUGUCCAGACCAGGCCCACCAGCGGCCACCAUGGCUCCAGGAGAGGGCCAGGGCUGACUGGGUCGAAGAGGAGCCACCGGAAGGUGGUCCGGGAUCAGAUCCGGAGAGUGGUGGAGAACCUGGAGGAGGUUCUAGGAGGCCUGAAGGACAUCCAUCAGGAGAUGAAGGAGGUGGUGCAGCAGAUUGAGCUGCUGACCUCGUCCAUUGACCUGAGUGAAGGGGAAGCCAGCCCCAGCCUGCCCAGCGACAGUAGCUCCACCUCCAGUGGAGUCGCGAUGGGCAGUAGCCAUCAGAGGCCAAGAGGCCCAGGGGGUGAGGAGGCCAGACAGGGGGACGCAGCUCUGUCCUCCCUCAUCAGGACUAACUCACCCCAGCGUCACAACCCUGCCUCCAGCCCGGUCCGCCUUCCCCACCAACUUGCUCCCAGGCCAUACAGGAGUAGCCCUGUUCACCCUCCCACCUCUGGUCUGUCCCCCAUCAGUACCAACCCACCUCACCCCAACACCCAUGAUCCCUCAGUCAAGAGCAAGAGUUUACAUUACCCCCUCAACCAUGCCUCUAACUCUGCUCUCUUUCACAUCCUUGGACUUUCCCCCCAUGAAAUAAGUCCUCCUCCUCACCCCUCUGCUCUCAGUCCUUCUGUCACCUUAGAAACCCAAAUAGGGUCACCCAUGAGGUCACCUCUCCCUGUCAGCCCACCCAGAGCCCGUAAGACCCAGACCAUGGUGGAGGGAGUGAGGACAACAUCUGCUAAAUCACUGGGGCUAACGCAGGGCCAGACAGUCCCACACGGCCCAGGGAGAGUUCCAGGGCCCAAGGGCCGCAAGCCGCCUCCUUACCCGCACGAUGGGCACUUUGAUCGGGGGGCAAGUAAAGGCAAGGACCCCAAGAAGGCUCCCCCGUAUCCUGUAAAGAGAAGACUGCUCUCAACCACGGUGUGAGAGGGAGGUGGUUGGAUUAAUGGAGCAACUACCACAGAGCUGAGGGAGCAGAGGGUGAUUUAAGGCUCGCCAACUUGAGCAGAGCCCACGUUUCCAAGGUGAUGAGAGGUGUCUCAGGGUAGGUAUAUGUCAGCAGAGUUCUGCUGCAUUUGUCCUGACACCCUUUCCACCUUUCUGGCUUGGCUCUGACCAAGGAUAAGAGACAGGAUAAGAGACAGCAACACCUGGCUCGGCGCACUUGUAACUACUAGGGCCCGAUGCAGAUGCCCACUUAGCAGAAUGAUGACACAACCAAAUAGGGUGAGAGCAUCUCUUUGGCGUACCAUGUCUCUUGGCUGACUUGGUCACCCAGUGCUUGGAAGUGUGUCUGGGGGAGAUAGGGGAGAGGGGGACAGAGACAGUGGGGCAGCUGGCCAUUAGUCCUACCCUUCAAAGGGCCCUUGGUGGUGAUUCCUAACCUAACCCUCCUCAUCCACAAGCUCCAUAUGUUCCCUGUAAAUGUCAAUCAGGAAAUACAGAGGAAGAGAGAGAGAGAGAUGGGGAAACGCAGUCCAAACUGGCCGAGAGCAUUCACAAGAGAGAAAUGAUGACGCACUCAUCGGGUCGUAUCAUGGUGCCCAUAGUUCAGAAUCAAUCUGCCUGUAUCACAGUGGUUGUAACGUGCCAUUGCAUGUUGUAGAUCAUUUGUAUUUUUGGUUAAUUUGAUGCCAUCUUGUGGACUUGACAUGUACUUCAGCAGAUACAUUUGUACUGGAAACUUAGGGAUCUUAGGAAUACCUUCCAAUGCAAUUUUUAGACAAAGUUGGCUAUGUUUUCUGAUGGGAAGUUAAAGUCAACAGUUAUAGUAGUAACAGAUGGCCAAUAGUAACGACCUGUUCAUAAACUGAACAAAAAUAUAAAUGCAACAAUGCAACAAUUUCAAAGAUUUUACUGAGUUACAGUUCAUAUAAGGAAUUCAGUCGAUUUAAAUGAAUUCAUUAGGCCCUAAUCUAUGGAUUUCACAUUACUGGGAAUACAGAUAUGCAUCUGUUGGUCACAGAUACACAACAUGAACAAAAGUAUGUGGACACCUGUUCGCCGAACGUGUCAUUCCAAAAUCAUGGGCAUUAAUAUGAAGUUGGUCCCCCCUUUGCUGCUAAAACAGCCUCCACUCUUAUGGGAAGGCUUUCCACUAGAUGUUGGAACAGUGCUGCGGGGGCUUGCUUCCAUUCAGCCACAAGAGCAUUAGUGAGGUCGGGCACUGAUGUUGGGCGAUUAGGCCUGGCUCGCAGUCGGCGUUCCAAUUCAUCCCAAUUCAUCUGUGCAGGCCAGUUAAGUUCUUCCACACCGAUAUUGACAAACCAUUUCUGUAUUGACCUCGCUUUGUGCACGGGGGUAGUGUCAUGCUGAAACAGGAAAGGGCCUUUCCCCGAGUUCCCAGUUGUCUUGAACUCAUUGAAGUCAGAUUUCCCAGUCCAAGUUAAGUUGUUUUGAGCGCAGCACAAAUCAUGCUUCAUUGACAGCAUGGCCAAUGUUGAAUGUUUAUCAUUUUAAGCUUGGAUAAGAGACCCUGAAACCCAGACUUGGGACCACACAGUCACUCCACUGAAUAGCAGGCUAGUGAUUGCUUUGCAAUGCUUGCAGUUAGCCACUGAUUCCUUCCAAACCACUCAUUGUUGAAUUUGCAACUUCCGACUUGUUGUGUAAUGUUGAUGUCCAAUGGUCGAUGAGCACCGAUACGUUUUAUCUAUAAAUUCUCUUCAUUAUUUCCCUUCAUAUGACAAGGAUUAAAAAAGAUUUGCCAGUAGAUUGUCAACUUGAUUCAGGAUGAUGACUGCGAGCUAAGAUUUUGAAAGUAUGAUGUUGACAUGAUCAGUCCAAUCAAAGGUACUGUAGAUAUAACAUGAUUUGAUGUAAUUUUAUCUGUGGCCAAUGACCUUGAGCCUUCUUGGAUGGGCUCUUCUAAUGUAACUCUAUGGCAGCACACAAGGGGCUUGAAUUUUCGAGCUCUACCCUUAGACUCCCCAUGAGUGACAGAACACUGAGCCAAUCACUACCAACCCCUACGCUACGUAAACUCAGCAAAAAAAGAAACGUCCUCUCACUGUCAACUGUGUUAAUUUUCAGCAACCUUAACAUGUGUAAAUAUUUGUAUGAACAUAACAAGAUUCAACAACUGAGACAUAAACUGAACAAGUUCCACAGACAUGUGACUAACAGAAAUGGAAUAAUGUGUCCCUGAACAAAGGGGGGUCAAAAUCAAAAGUAACAUUCAGUAUCUGGUGUGGCCACGAGCUGCAUUAAGUACUGCAGUGCAUCUCCUCCUCAUGGACUGCACCAGAUUUGCCAGUUCUUGCUGUGAGAUGUUACCCCACUCUUCCACCAAGGCACCUGCAAGUUCCCAGACAUUUCUGGGGGCAAUGGCUCUAGCCCUCACCCUCUGAUCCAACAGGUCCCAGACGUGCCCAAUGGGAUUGAGAUUAGGGCUCUUCGCUGGCCAUGGCAGAAUACUGACAUUCCUGUCUUGCAGGAAAUCACGCACAGAAUGAGCAGUAUGGCUGGUGGCAUUGUCAUGCUGGAGGGUCUUGUCAGGAUGAGCCUGCAGGAAGGGUACCACAUGAGGGAGGAGGAUGUCUUCCCUGUAACGCACAGCGUUGAGAUUGCCUGCAAUGACAACAAGCUCAGUCCGAUGAUGCUGUGACGUACCGCCCCAGACCAUGAUGGACCAUCCACCUCCAAAUCGAUCCCGCUCCAGAGUACAGGCCUCGGUGUAAACGCUUAUUCCUUCGACGAUAAACGCGAAUCAAACCAACACCCCUGGUGACACAAAACCGCGACUAGUCAGUGAAGAGCACUUUUUGCCAGUCCUGUCUGGUCCAGCGACAGUGGGUUUGUACCCAUAGGCGACGUUGUUGCCAGUGAUGUCUGGUGAGGACCUGCCUUACAACAGGCCUACAAGCCCUCAGUCCAGCCUCUCUCAGCCUAUUGCGGACAGUCUGAGCACUGAUGGAGGGAUUGUGGUGUAAUUCCUGGUGUAACUCGGGCAGUUGUGGUUGCCAUCCUGGACUUGUCCCGCAGGUGUGAUGUUCGGAUGUACCGAUCCUGUGCAGGUGCUGUUACACGUGGUCUGCCACUGCAAGGACGAUCAGCUUUCUGUCCUGUCUCCCUGUGCGCUGUCUUAGGCGUCUCACAGUACGGACAUUGCAAUUUAUUGCCCUGGCCACAUCUGCAGACCUCAUGCCUCCUUGUAGCAUACCUAAGGCAGGUUCACACAUAUGAGCAGGGACCCUGGGCAUCUUUCUUUGGUGUUUUUCAGUCAGUAGAAAUACCUCUUUAGUGUUCUAAGUUUUCAUAACUGUGACCUUAAUUGCCUACCGUCUGUAAGCUGUUAGUGUCUUAACGACCUUCCACAGGUGCAUGUUCAUUAAUUGUUUAUGGUUCAUUGAACAAGCAUGGGAAACAGUGUUUAAACCCUUUACAAUGAAGAUCUGUGAAGUUAUUUGGAUUUUUACGAAUUAUCUUUGAAAGACAGGAUCCUGAAAAAGGGAGUUUGUUUUCCGCUGAAUGCCCCACCACCACAGAAAGCACUGAGCUAGGCUGAAACACCUGCAUUUUGGAGCUGCCUUACUCAAGAAAGCAAAAAAGAGACCAUGUUUGUAUUCGGCUUUAUUAACUCAACGAUUUUAUCAUUCUUUUUUUUUACAUUGUUUGCAAACGGUCCAAAAACAUUAUGCACAUCGAAUUUCGUCUGUGUUAUAGCUACAUUUUCAUAUGAAACGUAAUAAUGUUGGAAUCUGCUGGACUGAAAAUGUGUGUCCUAAUAAUAUAAAAAAAGAGCAUGAGAUCAGCACACAGAACUCUGAAAGUAAUCCAAGCUGAAAAGCAUCAAACCUGAGCAUGGACAGCAGUGUGAAAUCUUAGCAAGGACAUUCUGAUCAAUUAGCUGUGUCAAAACAAAUGAGAACACACAUUUCACAUUCCCAGACAAUAUGACUUUUAUUGGAGCAUCAGUUGCACAUUGUGAUUUAGAAAUCCAAGAAGUAGAAAAUAAAAUAUAAAACAAAACAAGUGCCCGGUGGUAUUUCCUUUUGGGAGCCAAGGGACUCCACUAUCAACGCUGAGUGAGGGCCUCCUCUAGACAGACAGGGAUGAACCUGGUAUGUGCUGGCAAGCUAACUAUUCUCUACAUCAAGGCAAUAUGUCUCUAAUCCUGGUAGGCCAAAUAAGCAUCUGUUCUAAAGCUCCACCUAGCUUCAUUAAGACUGUUGGUAGGAGUGAGAGAGGAGGGAGAAAAACUAAAUCAACUGCAUUGAAUGAUGAUUGGUUGGUUGAAUCAGGUGCUCUAUCUAGAUCAAAAGAACAUAGAAACUGGGGCUCCAUGCUCUACAUUAUCUGUACUAACCAUUCACUUGCUUAGAGAAGCAGAUUGGAAAAAUGUAUAUAUCUUAACGUGCGCACGAUGAAGACAAAUGAUUACUCACAUUUCCCUGGCUUAGCAUAAGACCAAUAAAUCCUCUGAACCUAUAUCUCUCUACACCCGUUAAGAUCAGACAUCCCAAUAUGCAUUCUCAUACAGUAUGGAACAUAAUGAAUUUUCCAUGUAAAGCCAUAAUACUCCAAAUAAAAAACAAUACAUUUAUUCAACAGCAUAUUUGUAGACCACCAAGGUCUAAGGCUGUCACUCAUUACUGUAUCGUCCUUCGUGCUUGAAUAUCGUCCUUCAAUUGCCACUGUUGUCGACAUUAGAGCACAAUGGCCUGCCUUGAGAGCACGCCUGGAUGUCACCAUUUGAUGAUAUUACAACAG
rnacentral:lncRNA from 13 species